UUUAAACACUAGGGGAGUUACUCUGAGAUUGGAUUCGUCCUAAACCCUUAUAUACCUGAUCUGGGUUAUACCAGCGUAGGGAAGUGCCAAUUGACACAA
rnacentral:ncRNA from 2 species